rnacentral:rRNA from 1 species
GAUGAACGCUAGCGGCAGGCCUAAUACAUGCAAGUCGAACGGGAUUGAGGAGCUUGCUCCUCAUGAGAGUGGCGCACGGGUGCGUAACACGUAUGUAACCUACCUUAAUCAGGGGGAUAGCCUCUCGAAAGAGAGAUUAACACCGCAUAAAAUCACACUAUGGCAUCAUAGAAUGAUCAAAUAUUUAUAGGAUUAAGAUGGGCAUGCGGAACAUUAGCUAGUUGGUAAGGUAACGGCUUACCAAGGCUACGAUGUUUAGGGGAUCUGAGAGGAUGGCCGCCCACACUGGUACUGAGACACGGACCAGACUCCUACGGGAGGCAGAAGUAAGGAAUAUUGGUCAAUGGACGGAAGUCUGAACCAGCCAUGCCGCGUGCAGGAAGACGGCCCUACGGGUUGUAAACUGCUUUUGUACCGGAAUAAACCUCUUUACGUGUAAGGAGCUGAAUGUACGGUAAGAAUAAGGAUCGGCUAACUCCGUGCCAGCAGCCGCCGUAA